UACGUAGGGUGCGAGCGUUAAUCGGAAUUACUGGGCGUAAAGCGUGCGCAGGCGGUUUUGUAAGUCUGUCGUGAAAGCCCCGGGCUCAACCUGGGAAUUGCGAUGGAGACUGCAAGGCUUGAAUCUGGCAGAGGGGGGUAGAAUUCCACGUGUAGCAGUGAAAUGCGUAGAGAUGUGGAGGAACACCGAUGGCGAAGGCAGCCCCCUGGGUCAAGAUUGACGCUCAUGCGCGAAAGCGUGGGGAGCAAACAGG
rnacentral:rRNA from 1 species